UCCAAGAGCCAGAUAACCCCUCCGACUGCUACAUCUUCAGAGGAGACGGUGCUCCAACCGUCAUGCACUUCCCACUUUUCAACAGAGUGAAUUGCCCAGCCUAUGUGACGGAAUGGAGAAUUAGAUUCACCAUGCUUCGCUUUCUCUACCAUGUGGGAGACAUCACCAAACUCCUUCAAUCAGCCAGACUGAAUGUAUUGAACAAUAAGGACAAGAUCCUACAAGAGAUCAAAUACAUUGUGGCUCACUCCAGCAAGGAGGCAAGCUCUUAAGAAGACUUUUUCAUCUCUGCUUUGCAUACGUUAAAGCCACCCAGUUGAUUUUGCGAACUACAGAAUUGUCAUUUGGCUGGAAAAUGUCAUCAUUUGGAAUCACAGGGGGGAGGGGUCCUGGAAAAUCAUGAAAUCUGUGACUUCCGUGACUUCCAUGAAAGACUCCCAAUUUUAACAAUUAAUCUUCUGCAGACUUUAGCGGUGGGAGCUGGUGUCUCAGCUUCUGCUGUGAAAGCACUAGUACCUAGUUCAUGAGUUAACCCUAUAACUUGACUGCACUUUACUUUAGCAAUUCUGAUUCUGCGCAUGAGUCAAAGAAAAAAUCUCUCUUGGUAUUCUUUGCUUGCUGUUUUGAAUUAUUGCUCAAUCUGUCUCUGCUCUGUGUGAUGCCAGAUGCCUUUGUCUCCUGAUGCACAAUUCAUGUUCAAUUAAUAAAGUCUAUAAAAUUGCA